rnacentral:lncRNA from 1 species
GGAGGUUUUCCUUGAAAAUUACUUUUCUAAUCCUUAUCUUGAGGAUUUUGCAAACAGUAAUUAGUUUGGAUGAUUUUAGAGGCUAUUUUAGGUAAUAAAGAGAUAUUCAAAAUCGAAUUUACUUUUGUAUAAAAAAAUAAAAAGAACAAGAAGGAAAACGAAAAGAGAAAUAUUUAAUUGAUAAAGCCAGAUCAAUCAUAGUGGGAAAUAGAUCAAUGGUGCGGAGGUUGCAAGCAACAAUUGGCAUUCUUGUCACCAGUGAGGGUGAUAAUCCUGCUUGUGUGAGCUUCAAUCAGAUAACAUGU